CCUACGGGAGGCAGCAGUGGGGAAUUUUGCGCAAUGCACGUAAGUGUGACGCAGCGACGCCGCGUGCAUGACGAAGGCCUUCUGAUCGUAAAGUUCUUUCGACAGGGAAGAAAAUGCAUAUAAGUAACUGUGUCUGUAUUGACGGUACCUGUAUAAGCAGCCCAGGCUAACUCCGUGCCAGCAGCCGCGGUAAUACGGAGGGGGCGAGCGUUGUUCGGAGUGACUGGGUGUAAAGGGUACGUAGGCGGUGGUGUAAGUGAUGAGUCAAAGACUAGAGCUCAACUUUAGUAAGGCGUGUGAUACUAUAAGACUAGAGAAUAAGAGAGGAUGGCAGAAUGCCUGGUGUAGCGGUGAAAUGCGUAGAUAUCAGGAGGAACACCGUUAGCGAAGGCGGCAAUCUGGCUGGAAACUGACGCUGAGGCGCGAAAGCGUGGGUAGCAAACAGGAUUAGAUACCCUUGUAGUC
rnacentral:rRNA from 1 species